rnacentral:rRNA from 1 species
AGGGUUUGAUUAUGGCUCAGAACGAACGCUGGCGGCAGGCUUAACACAUGCAAGUUGAACGUGAUUUGUUGGGUGCUUGCACCGAGCAAUGAAAGUAGCGCACUGGUGAGUAACACGUGGGAACGUACCUUUUGGUGGGGAACAACAGUUGGAAACGACUGCUAAUACCGCAUAAGCCCUGAGGGGGAAAGAUUUAUCGCCGAAAGAACGGCCCGCGGAAGAUUAGGUAGUUGGUGGGGUAACGGCCUACCAAGCCGACGAUCUAUAGCUGGUCUGAGAGGACGAUCAGCCACAUUGGAACUGAGACACGGUCCAA